UACGUAGGUGACAAGCGUUGUCCGGAAUCACUGGGCGUAAAGCGCACGUAGGCGGAUUGUUAAGUCAGGGGUGAAAUCCUGGAGCUCAACUCCAGAACUGCCUUUGAUACUGGCGAUCUCGAGUCCGGGAGAGGUGAGUGGAACUGCGAGUGUAGAGGUGAAAUUCGUAGAUAUUCGCAAGAACACCAGUGGCGAAGGCGGCUCACUGGCCCGGUACUGACGCUGAGGUGCGAAAGCGUGGGGAGCAAACAGG
rnacentral:rRNA from 1 species